GUUGGCGCGUCCAGACAAAUGGGCCUUGUUGGGCUGACGGCGGGGGCGAGUUUGUGUGCCCCUGCUCGCUGAAUGCGGCUUCUGUGCCUCUGGGCGGGCGUGCAGGAGCCAGGACUAGGCGGGAGGGGACCAGGGCCUGGAGCGCCCAUUGGCCGAAGCGCAGGGGGUUGGGCUGGGCUGCUGACCGCACCUGGCCGGGAGCGAGAGCCUGCAAGGAGGCCGCUGUGGCGGCGGCAGAGGGGCAGGAACAUGGACCAAGCCUGGAGGACCGCGGAGGCCCGGCGGGUGCACCCCGCCGCCCAGUGAGUGAGCGAGCGCCCGGGCGGCACGCCCACCCCGAGCCAGCCACGCUGAGCCCGCGGAGAACCAGGCCAAGGAGCCCCACACUACUCCAGACAGAGGUGCUUGUGAAGUCUCCUGACGGGGGACUGAUGGAAUCACCAGGUAAGUGGUAAUGAAAGUACAUCCAGCCGGGGAUUUAGCUCAGUGGUUCUGGUGCCUGCCAUGCAAGCUCAAGGUCCUGAGUUCAUUCCCUGGUACAAAAAAAAAAAAGUACAUCCAGAGAAACCUGCUUUUCCAUGUGGCUGUUCUUUUUUUUUGGUACCGGAGAUCAAACUCAGGUCCUUGCACUUGUGCAGCAGGCGGCAAAACCACUGAGCUAAAUCCCUGGCCUCCAUGUGGCUGUUCUAAGGCAGAGUUAAGGUCCCCAGCAAUAUCCCUCCCUGCUGUGGCACCUGGGGUUAGUCUAUUCCCAUCUGUGCCUGAGUUUUGUUGGAUGUAGAAUAUGAGAAUUGGGCAGCCUGAGUCUGAAGCGUGGGAAGAUGGCCUUCCAGGUGUCUGCACUGACAGAUCCUGCUUCCUCUGCCAGGUGGGAUCUAGAAAGAUCCAGAAGGAUCAUGAUAAUAACCAGAUGUGCCAACACUGUAUGCCAGGCAUACAAAGGCAAAGGGCUCUGCGUACCUCACGCCAUGGUUUCUCCCAGCAAGACUAAGAGCAUGGCUGUACCUCCAUUUUUUUAGGCGACUGGGGCUCAAGUAGGAGAAGUCACUUGCCCAAGGUCACCCAGCUUGGAAAUGGAGGUGGAUUUGUAGUCCACGUAACUCAGAAAGUCCAACAAUAGAGAGGAAGUGGGUGUGCAUCAUGUAUAACAAGUGUUGAGCACCCUUUGCAAAACCUAUUAUAUGUCCUCGUGUAAAUGAGUGCAUAGUCAUCCUUUAAAAAAUAUUUCAGACAUUUUAAAUAGAGAAUGAAACUACAACUCCUAUACAACUCCUACAACUCGUCCCUGGAGUUCUCAGUAUUUUGGGAGCUAAUAAAGACAAAAGUGUUGGCUCUGUGAUCACCACUCAACCCCCUUUAGAGCUGCUUUGGGACCACUCAGAUCUGCCAUGAGGAACGGUGACUUUUACCUGGUCAAGGCAGUAUAGCAGAAAGAGCUUGCUCUUAGUUCUGGCUUUGUCAUUUGGUGCUUUCACAAGUUACUGAGCCUCAGUUUCCCCAUCUGUCACAUGGGGCCAGCAAACUGCCCUGGGAGGGUCUGUUGGUCAUAGGUGUGAGUCAUAGGUGUGCUCUUCUAAGAACAUUGCAUUCUCUCAGUGGCCCCGGUACCCCUUGGCAUCCAUGCCUCCAGCCAAAAGACCAGAGAGUAGGAGCGAGAUGUCAGGCUGACAGUUUGGAGGUGGGCCAGUAAGCUGAAACUCUGCUGAGCAGUCCUCCCAUCUCUGCUCCAGCACCACACCCCAGAGGGGCUCAGAGGGAAGAAGCUUCUAGGUUCUUGCAAGUCACUCCUGGAGGGUGGCGCAGCCUCUCCCAUCUGCUCUCAGCUAUGCAGCCCUCACUCACUUCCUAGCUCUGUGCCAGGCAUCUGCUACCCCUUCCUCACUUAGGACACUGAAGUUCAGAGAGGGCAGUUUGCCUCCCUCAGCCACACAGUGAGAUGGGACUUGGCUCAGAUGAGCUGCUUUUCUCUCC
rnacentral:lncRNA from 1 species